UACGAAGGGGACUAGCGUUGUUCGGAAUCACUGGGCGUAAAGCGCACGUAGGCGGAUUUGUAAGUCAGGGGUGAAAUCCCGGGGCUCAACCUCGGAACUGCCUUUGAUACUGCGAGUCUUGAGUCCGAUAGAGGUGGGUGGAAUUCCUAGUGUAGAGGUGAAAUUCGUAGAUAUUAGGAAGAACACCAGUGGCGAAGGCGGCCCACUGGAUCGGUACUGACGCUGAGGUGCGAAAGCGUGGGGAGCGAACAGGA
rnacentral:rRNA from 1 species